rnacentral:rRNA from 1 species
UACGUAGGGGGCGAGCGUUGUCCGGAUUUAUUGGGCGUAAAGAGCGUGUAGGCGGUCCGGUCAGUCGGUUGUGAAAGUCAAGGGCUCAACCCUUGAAUGCCGGCCGUUACUGCCGGGCUAGAGUCCGGAAGAGGUGAGUGGAAUUCCUGGUGUAGCGGUGAAAUGCGCAGAUAUCAGGAGGAACACCGAUGGCGAAGGCAGCUCACUGGGACGGUACUGACGCUGAGACGCGAAAGCGUGGGGAGCAAACAGG